GACGAACGCUGGCGGCGUGCCUAAUACAUGCAAGUAGGACGCAGUUGCGAACGGGUGAGUAACGCGUAGGUAACUACCUAUUAGAGGGGGAUAACUAUUGGAAACGAUAGCUAAUACCGCAUACUAGUAGAUGGACCUGCGUUGUAUUAGCUAGUAGGUAGGGUAAUGGCCUACCUAGGCAACGAUACAUAGCCGACGUGAAAGGGUGACAGGCCAAACCGGGACUGAGAACAGGCCCCGACUCCUGCGGGAGGCAGCAGUAGGGAAUCUUUGGCAAUUGGGGGAACCCUGACCGAGCAACGCCGCGGGAGUGAAGAAGGUGUUCGGAGCGUAAAGCUCUGUUGUUAAGGAAGCGUUACUUAACCAGAAAGGGACGGCUAACUACGUGCCAGCCGCCGCGGUAAUAC
rnacentral:rRNA from 1 species